UACAGAGGUCCCAAGCGUUGUUCGGAUUCACUGGGCGUAAAGGGUGCGUAGGCGGACUUAUAAGUCAGUGGUGAAAUCUCGUUGCUUAACAACGAACGUGCCAUUGAUACUGUAGGUCUUGAGUACAGAUGCCGUUGGCGGAAUGUGUCAUGUAGCGGUGAAAUGCAUAGAUAUGACACAGAACACCGAUUGCGAAGGCAGCUGACGAAACUGUAACUGACGCUGAGGCACGAAAGCGUGGGGAUCAAACAGG
rnacentral:rRNA from 1 species